rnacentral:rRNA from 1 species
GAUGAACGCUAGCUACAGGCUUAACACAUGCAAGUCGAGGGGUUUGCUUCGGCAAACGACCGGCGCACGGGCGAGUAACGCGUAUCCAACCUGCCAUUCAUAUUGGGAUAGCCCUCCGAAAGGAGGAUUAAUACCGAAUAACAUAUUGUUGUUGCAUGAUAUCAAUAUGAAAGCUGAGGCGAUGAAUGAUGGGGAUGCGUUCCAUUAGGUAGUAGGCGGGGUAACGGCCCACCUAGCCAACGAUGGAUAGGGGUUCUGAGAGGAAGGUCCCCACACUGGAACUGAGACACGGUCCAG